AGGAGGAACAACCGCAGUGGCGGGGUCAGCUCUCGAGCCCUGGAUUCAGCUCCCUCAGUAACUACGGAUCUCUCAGUCUGCCGGGGCCUGGAUGCACCGGAGGCGG
rnacentral:pre_miRNA from 1 species